rnacentral:tRNA from 1 species
AUCGAGAUGGCGCAGCGGAAGCGUGCGGGGCUCAUAACCCCGAGGUCCCAGGAUCGAAGCCUGGUCUCGAUA